UUAGUGAGUUAUAUGUAUAUUAAGGGUUCUUUUCAUAUUAAAGGGUUCUAGUUUACAACCUCUGAUAAGGAAACACUCUGUUGUAAGUGCAUGGAAUUUGAACCAGUUCUCCCAGAGGGACAACCAAAGAACCCUUAAAGGUUCCAGAUUUGAUCGUUUUUUUCUAAGUGUACUUCAACAUAUGCAGAAUUUAGUCUGUUUAAAUUGGCAGUUGAGAAUGCAACAAUCACAGUAAGAUGUAGACACCUGUAAAGAGUGGUACCCUAAAGACAGGUACCCUUCUGCCUAUUUUUUCCACUUUUAGGUUUAUUUAAAUGUGGGCAGUGUUAAACCAAACCAAAGCAAAUUGCAAACUACACAAAAACAUUUUGCUCUGAUUUCCAAACGGUGUAAUAGCAGUGAAAGUGCCCUGUGCGUUAAAUCAGGACUGUCCAUUACUCUGUCUGGUGGCACUGUUACAUUUCAUAUUUGCAUUAGGAAUAGCCAUGCAAUGAGAGCAUCGGUCUAUACUGUGGCUUCUUUUAGUAGAUGUAUAAUCAGGCUUAAAUGGCCAUGUGCUGAACCCAUCUGUGUUAUGAUGAUGGCUCUGAAAGACUCUUUUCUUUGACUAUUGGUAUUCAGUAGCCACGCUGGACUCUCUCUGUGUGUGUGUGUGUGUGUGUGUGUGUGUGUGUGUGUGUGUUGGGGGGAUGGCAGGGGUAAGUUUGGCAACCCAGGCAGAAUGUGAGUGGAUCUAGCCCAACCAUUAUUCACAACACAUGGAUGAAAUGCAAUGUGAUAGGCCUCCCAGCUCCAUUUCUCCAUCCAUUAAAACAGAGAUGAUAUGGUGAAAUUCUCCAUAUCCUUCUCUCCAUCUUCCUCAUCUUUCUCUCACCCAAAGAGCUCUUUGUGUGUUAGUGCUGUUACUGUCAUUCUCAUUCUUGAGCCAGAGGGCCUGUGGUUUGGAGCUCCUGUGUGUAAAUGAAGGUUUGUGACUAGGGCCAGCCUGUUGAAUGGCAGUCCUCGCUCUGCGCUCAUAAAGUGAACAAACCUGUUUCCCAUUAAGGUUCCCGCUUUCCUGUGCUGCCAGGGUUCCAGUGGCCCACAUACUGCAGCCAACCAGCAGUGGCAGGUCACCAUACACAUAUACACACAUGCAGCCAAUUACUGCUCUCAAUUCCUACUCACUUCCUUUAAAUUGCACAGUUAACUUGAAGCAGUGGAAAAGCAUGAUAUAUAUAUUUUUUUAUUUAAUUAGGAAAACCUGGAAGACGUUACAUUUUUAAGUAAGAUAAUUAAAUCUGUUAAUUGGUUUUGUUCUUACCGCUGCAAAACGUCAGCUGCAAGAAGAACAGCUGCAAGAAAGGUUAUAAAUAAAGGCCUUGCCAUUGAGACAUUAUGCAAAACCCACUUAAUAGGUUCCCAAAUUUGAUGACUGUGGCAAAAAUCAGUUCUGUCUGUUUAUCCAGUAAAGUUGAAACAGUAGAACUAUAUUUUAAUUCAAAGCUGGAUGCUCACAGCUAUAGCCAACUACAUGCAUGGUAGGACACUGCUUAAGUAACUUCGUUACUAUACUUGAAUAUUAUUUUGGGAUAUUUAUACUUCACAUGAAUAUUAGUGAAAGUACUCAUUACAAAUAUUGAAGGUCUCUUCUCUCUUCCAGCCAAUGACUGUAUGCUAUACAUCAAUUAAUUGGGCUCAGUUUAGCUUUCAGUCAUCAAUCAAGUUAGUCAGAGUAAAAAAACAAUCAGGAAUCGUCACCGGCUGUAUUCUUCUCAUACUGGUUAGUGCUCUAGCUAUCCUUGUGCAUCUGUUGAUGACAAAGCCACCAGACUGCAGAGUGGAACUGAGGAUGAGCACCCCUGGCCGUACAUCAGUCAGUACGUUUACAUAGACAACAAUAUUCCUAUAUUAACCAGAUUAAGAUGAUAUUCUGAUUAAGAAACUACCAUGUAAACAGCAAUUAGUGAUGACCUUAAUCCGAAAAAAUAAAUAUUCGAAGUAAACACAAAUCGAAUUAAGACGUGGAGUAUUCCUGUUUUAGUUGUAUUAUCGACGUGCGUUAUAGACAUGUACACACCUUAAUCACACUAUUAACGUCGUGUGGGAGUUUACACCGCAUUUUGCGAUAGGACACGUACACAUACGGAAGUUUUCAACCGUUUGAUGGUAAACAAGAGAGCAUGGCUGCGUCUGAAACCACAUACUCACCUACUAUAUAGUAGGUGAAAUACGUUUUGGUAAGUUUUGGACGCAGCCCAUGGCUUCAAGCAGUCGUCUAUUAGCACGUAUAGCAUGAUAAAUAAUUAACUGCACUUGAAUCCUUCGUAAAAUGAAACACCCAAAACUGUAUACGGUACCAUAACGAAGACCAACUGUAUGUUGAUAUGUUAAAUUCUGGAGGGGACGUCGGACGGCGUGGCGUGGGGACGUGUGACAUUAAUUGAUCUAUGUUCUAUAACAUGUAAAACGGGAACAUGAAUGGAGUAUUCUAAAAGCAACUCAUGUAAACACCUUAAUCACAAUAUUGUCUUAUUCAGAAUAAGGUCAAUAAUUAGAUUACUGCUGUCCAUCUAAACGUAGUCAGUAAAAUAUCUCAAUAUGCUAGAGUAAGCAAAGACUUGUAUAAACCGAGGCAUUUCCUUUGCCUCCAAAGAACACAUGAAUUCCAUCUAAUUUGAAGAAGAAUGUUGAGAUUCACUAAUUCGUUAACAUUAACAGCUGUAUUCAAGUAAGUUAGCCUGUUUGCUGGCUAAUGGCAGGUUAGACUAACAUCUUAGUCUAACAAAUUAGACUAACAAAUUAGGCUAGGCAGGAAGUCAGAUUCUAGCUGUUUAUAAAUAUUGCAAAUUUAAAAAAAAAUCUGUCUAGCCUUUUCUCUUCUAAAUGUACUCUAUAAUCUGUUAUUUUUCCAUUUCAUUAUUUAUGGAUGAGCUUUUCCAGGCUAUCACUUGUACAAACAUCACUGGCUUUGUAGAUGGCUGUAUGUCAGUGCAAGCAUUUUAUUGGCUGCUGACAGGUGGCAUGUUCAUCUGUCCAUUCUCAUAUCCCUGGUAAGAUUUGUUUGUCCACAAGAUCACAAGAAGUCCACAGGGAGAUAUAUUAGUGUUAGGAGAUAGAGGACUUACUAGCUUGCCCUCGCAGUUGACAUGUAUUUAAUUUGCCUGUGUUCACUGCUGCACUCCUGUCAAGCUGAAGUUUUAUUUAGUCAUUAGAUCAGCCUUUGGAAACAUCCUGUGAUUAGUUUAAGUGUUUGGAUAUGCCAGCUGUCAGUGUUCAAAGGUGCUGUAGUCUGCGUUUUGGUUGAUUGCAAGUUCAGACUUUCUGAACUAAUCCAUACCAACUUCUUAGCCACUAGCUUUCAUACACUGUUAGCCACAUUUACCAUUGUUGGUUGGUAAUAUUGCUUAAAACGAGCUUUCAGCUGUGUAGAGAAAGACUGAAAGGACUAAACGAGAUGUGUUUAAAAAGAGACGAGGCCCAGCGGGUUUGAAAGAACAACAGUCCUCAUUCAUCUGUUCAUCUUGGCAGUAUUAUGAUAACUCAGCACACCUGGCUGUAGGUUCUGUGUGAGGAUCAAAAAUCUACAAUAAAACCAAAUACAACCAAAUUUAAAACAGCACCAAACUGUCGUUUCGCCUUCCAAAGAAAGGAAAGAAUGAACUUAUUCAAAAAAGCAGGAGAAAGAAAGACUGAAAGAAAAGAGAGAGAAUUAAGUAAUAAAAAGUAAAUAAUAGAAAAGAACAGUAUGAAAGUAAAGCAUGUAGGAGAAAGAAGUAACGAAUAAGAUAAUGUAAGUAUGAAAGUAAGAUGAAACAAUGAAGAAAAUAAUAAUAAAUUAUAAACAAUCAGGGAAGGGUAAAAAAGGAUUAAAGAUGGAAUGAGAGAAGGUAAUAAGAAAGGCAGCAGCAUGGAGGAGUGUUCACUAAAGCAGCGGCUUUUAUCUGUCACUUCAUUGAGAGCUCUGGAUUCAAACUGGAUUUGAGGAUUUUCCCAGUGAAGUUUGCUUUAAGGGGAAAACUGCAUGGUCAGCUCAUUUUUGUUGGUUGAUGUGGCUCGAGGUUUGAGCUGAGUCUUUUCAAUACUUCUUUCUCAGCUACUGUGUAGGUACUGUAGCUCAACGUGCAGCAGUUUGAUGUUUAUGUUUUAUUUGUCAGGUUUUUGUUUUAUUUAAUACAUUUUAAAUUGAAUUACAGGUGUGUAUAUUUUCUGGGAUUUUAACCUAGGGUUCACUCAAACUGUUAAUGUGAUCGGAGAGAGUUUAAAAUAAUUAAGACUUUUCCAGUUAGGGUUUAGCCAUUGAAAAAAAAUACACAAGAUAUUUUUGGGGAAAGUAUUUUAUGUAUUGGGUGAUUUAUAUGCUUACAUCUUGCAUAGGGGCAGUGCUGGCAUGGUGGUUAAGGCUCUGCGUUACUGAUCAGAAGGUUGGGGGGUCAAGCCCCAGCACUGCCAAGCUGCCACUGUUGGGCCCUUGAGCAAGGCCCUUAACCCUCUCUGCUCCAGGGGCGCUGUAUCAUGGCGGACCCUGUGCUCUGACCCCAGCUUCCUGACAUGCUGGGGUAUGCGAAGUAAAGAAUUUCAUUGUGCAUGUGUAUAUGUGAUCAAUAAAGACUCAUUAUCAUUAUACUGUAGUACAUACAUAAAUGUACGCAUGAUUAUAACGAACCUUUUUCAUAGCAUCACUCAGCACUAAAUGUUUAUCACGUAUUCACUCAUCUAUCAUAGUAAGGUGGACUGACUUUUACAGUAAGAUCAACACGUUCCUGUGUGGCUCAUACAGCAGACAGUCUGGAAGAUCAACAUUCCUACACAAGCAUGUGCAUACACACACACACACACACACACACACACACACACACACACACACACACACACACACACACACACACACACACACAGCCUUUGUCAUCACUACCAUUCAGGUCUUGUGGACUUUUCCAUAGACAUGCUCCUAGAGUUGAAAGAAAAGAGAAACAAUACACACACAGCAUUGUGUCCAGGUGCACUCACAUACGGGGACUAGAAUGCGGGUUUGAGUACAGAUUCACAAAAACACACUGAUUUUACAUCCUUACUAUGUCUCAGCUGUCAGGGUGUAUUGCUUUUGAAGUAUGCUCCACUAUAUUUGUUUUUGUGCCUUUGAGAAUUCAGAGUUAAAUUUGAAUUUGUAAUUCAUGUGUUUUUUAGUUACAACUGACCUGGACAAACAAUAUGAUUUACAGUUUCUAUUGAUUAAACUGUUCUGUCUUUCAAAAGACACUUUUUGAUACUGUACACUGUGUUUUUGCAUGUAUGUCAUGUGGUGUCUCAAGAAGGUUACAUUAAGCCUAAGCCUCAUAUUUAUCAAAUCUAGUGUUGCUGGCUCACAUCUCCAGGGUCUUUCACUGACCCUCGUAUGAAUGAGUAUGUGUAUAGGGUGCCCUGUGAUUGUGUAUUCCGGCCUUGAGUCCAGUGUUCCUGAGAUGGACUCCAGAUCCACCAUGACUCUGAGAGUAGUUAGUGAAGAUGAGAGAAAGAAAGAAAGAAAGAAAGAAAGAAAGAAAGAAAGAAAGAAAGAAAGAAAGAAUUUUUGACCACUCUCCCAUGCAGUAUGCAUGAUAUUUGAAUGUUUUCUUGCAUGUAUUGUCCAUUUCAAAUCUUAGGACCAUUCAUUUGCUUAGGAUCAUUAUUCUGUUGAAAAGUCCACUUUUGGUUCAAUUUCAACUUUUGGACAGAUGGCCUCUCAUUAUCUUCAAGCACCCUUUGAUAUGAUGCAGAAUUCAUAGUUGAAUCAGUGAAUGCAAGCUCCCUGAGGCAGCGAAGCAACCCCAAACCAUAACAUUUUCACCACCGUGCUAUGAGGUGCUUCUCCUGAGAAGCUGUCUUUGGUCUGUACCAAACAUGUCUUUGGUCUGCUGUUUCUGUGGCCAAACAACUCUAGCUUUGAUGCGUCUGUCCAUAGCACAUUAUUCCAAAAGGCCUGGUCUUUGCCUAUAUGCUCAUUGGUCUAAAGUAAAAUAUGCUCUAAAGUUUUUUUAAAAAAAAAAUGAUUUAUUUAUUUAUUUCUGGAACACCUCCUAUGCAGGUCAUAUUUGUGCAAUCUCUUUCUGAUUGUAGAAGCAUACACACCAACAGUUGCAGGACUUACUAGCAGAUCCUUUGAUGAAAUUUUGAGGUUCUUGGAGACUUCUUUUUGCAUCACAUGGUCUGCUGUUUGUCUGAUUGUGCUGGGAUGGCCAGUCCUGGACAAACAGGCAGUCAAUGGACACUAUAUAUGAGAGGGGUAUAAAUCAGACAGCUAUGGCCUGCAUGAUCUGUAGCAGCGAGAGUGUAAGAAAAAAACAACACUGGACAAAGCACAAAGCUCCUCACAUGAGAUAUUUGGAGAAGGGCAGAAAGCAAGAGGCCCUCCUUCAGGAAAAAAAAACAUUUAGGAAGUGGGUUUCAGUUUUUAUAGGUUAACAGGGAUAAAGAGUGUGUGGUGGGGCUCCCAUUGCCUUUACCAUGUAUAUUGAAUGGUGAAUAUGCAGUUGUUGAGGCUGGUUACUUUUAUGCUGGAUGGGACACUAUUCUUACAGGAGUUCUGACCACUGGAUUGUACACUCAUCCUAGCUAGUCAAUGACACACACACACACACACACACACACACACACACACACACACACACACACACACACACACACACACACACACACACACACACACACACA